CCUACGGGGGGGCUGCAGUGGGGAAUAUUGGACAAUGGGGGGAACCCUGAUCCAGCCAUGCCGCGUGUGUGAAGAAGGCCCUCGGGUUGUAAAGCACUUUCAGUGAGGAAGAACGCCUGGUGGUUAAUACCCAUCAGGAAAGACAUCACUCACAGAAGAAGCACCGGCUAACUCCGUGCCAGCAGCCGCGGUAAUACGGAGGGUGCGAGCGUUAAUCGGAAUUACUGGGCGUAAAGCGCGCGUAGGUGGCUUGAUAAGCCGGUUGUGAAAGCCCCGGGCUCAACCUGGGAACGGCAUCCGGAACUGUCAAGCUAGAGUGCAGGAGAGGAAGGUAGAAUUCCCGGUGUAGCGGUGAAAUGCGUAGAGAUCGGGAGGAAUACCAGUGGCGAAGGCGGCCUUCUGGACUGACACUGACACUGAGGUGCGAAAGCGUGGGUAGCAAACAGGAUUAGAUACCCCAGUAGUC
rnacentral:rRNA from 1 species